GACGAACGCUGGCGGCGUGCUUAACACAUGCAAGUCGAACGGAAAGGCCUUUUCGGAGGUACUCGAGCGGCGAACGGGUGAGUAACACGUGGGUGAUCUGCCCUGCACUCUGGGAUAAGCCUGGGAAACUGGGUCUAAUACCGGAUAGGACCGCACUUUAGUGUGUGUGGUGGAAAGUUUUUUCGGUGUAGGAUGAGCCCGCGGCCUAUCAGCUUGUUGGUGGGGUAAUGGCCUACCAAGGCGGCGACGGGUAGCCGGACUGAGAGGUUGGUCGGCCACAUUGGGACUGAGAUACGGCCCAGACUCCUACGGGAGGCAGCAGCGGGGAAUAUUGCACAAUGGGCGCAAGCCUGAUGCAGCGACGCCGCGUGGGGGAUGACGGCCUUCGGGUUGUAAACUCCUUUCGCCAGGGACGAAGCGUUUUGUGACGGUACCUGGAGAAGAAGCACCGGCUAACUACGUG
rnacentral:rRNA from 1 species